rnacentral:rRNA from 1 species
UUCGAGGACCUGCGGAAGGAUCAUUACAGAUUCAAGAUAUUAGAAGGAGCCAGCAGGGCGCCGCCGCGGUGGGGACAAUACGGGGCUAACGCCCCGCCCCAGCCGGGCGGCGUCACUCUGGCCGAGUGAGAGCAUUCGCUUGGGCUUCUUUGUGUUCAUUUCGAAUACUGAGAAACAGGUAGUCGUCCGAGCCAUCGGGGUGUAAGAAAUCCCCGGAGGUCUCGGCGGCUGGUACAGCGGCCAAAUUCCAUGAAGACGGAGCAUAGACAGCUCACCCCUCUUGUCGCUUGCCGAAAAAAGAAAUCCCCCGGGGAUCACGGCCUUACAGAGGGACGCUUUGCUCCAGAGAGGUCAACUGCGUACUUGGACUUUGCAGUCCAGCCUUGAUUCUAUUGCUUGCACACGCGAGGUCUGGGGUAUCAAAUCCCCACUAGCCUAUGUACGCGGAGAGGGCGAACGGGAAAAGUCAACGUAAGACGAACGCGGAGGACAAAGGCGCCGUAUGCUCUGUGGCGCCCCCCUGCGGGGUUGUAAGCCAUCGACUCACCUUCCACACGGCGUAAUUCUGCCAGCGGAGUUGGUUUGGAUCUUCGGAUCAGGUGAGGGCUUGUUCAGCGACCCGUCGAUAAGUUGGCGUUGCCAUUCCGCCCUUCGCGUGAGGGGCCUCAGCCGAGCCACGAGCCCCCAUACUCGGUGACUGCUUGGUGGAUGCGUGAUGUGUUCCGUGGCCGACAUACCAGGAGCCAUCCGAUCCGAUUGCCGUGCGCGGGCCCCGUUCCAUCGUCCCCUGGGCGCUCUGGAAAGCGAUUAUCUCACCCGGUCGGUGACCUGCUCGUUAAAUUUUUCGCGCCGCCGCGUGUCAUCCUCGGUCGUUUGACUCGAGUGAGGACCGCGGGCUCCACGGCAACCCAGCCCAUGGACAGUUUGGCGUAGAGAUCCUCUAUACAACUCCCGGACCCCUUGUUUAUGUGUACUCUCGUUUCCUCGGGGGGCUCGCCCGCCAACGGGGACAAACAAACCCAUUUUUGCAGUGGAAGUUUCUGUCUGAACAAUAUAAACUUAUUAAAACUUUCAACACGGAUCUCUUGGUUCUGGCAUCGAUGAAGAACGCAGCGAAAUGCGAUAAGUAGUGUGAAUUGCAGAAUUCAGUGAAUCAUCGAAUCUUUGAACGCACAUUGCGCCCUUUGGUAUUCCAUAGGGCAUGCCUGUUCGAGCGUCGUCUCAAACCUUCAAGCCUAGCUUGGUGUUGGGUGACUGUCCCGCCUUACCGCGCGGACUUGCCUCAAAGUCAUUGGCAGCAGACUCGGUAGCUAAUUGCGCAGCACAUCGCGCCGGAAGUUCCGUGUCCGCUAUCCACGAGCACAGUCUCAUCAGUUGACCUCGAUCAGUAGGGAUACCCGCUGAACUUAAGCAUAUCAAUAAGCGGAGGA